rnacentral:snRNA from 1 species
UAUAAUUUUACUAUAAUACACUAAAAUUGGGAUGAUACAGAGAAGAUUGACAUGGCCUCUGUGUAAGGAUGACACACAAAUGUGGGAAGUGUUCCAUUUUAAA